UACGAAGGGGGCUAGCGUUGUUCGGAAUCACUGGGCGUAAAGGGCGCGUAGGCGGCUGUUCAAGUCGGGGGUGAAAGCCUGUGGCUCAACCACAGAAUUGCCUUCGAUACUGGACGGCUCGAGACCGGAAGAGGUCAGUGGAACUGCGUGUGUAGAGGUGAAAUUCGUAGAUAUUCGCAAGAACACCAGUGGCGAAGGCGGCUGACUGGUCCGGUUCUGACGCUGAGGCGCGAAAGCGUGGGGAGCAAACAGG
rnacentral:rRNA from 1 species